CACCGAGGUCAGGUGUAUGGCAGGGGUGUCUUUAUAUGGAGGCAAUCACGUCAAGCUGUGAAGGUGAAUCCCAGAUUGCCUUGGAGACCCCAAGAUGUUGGAGGUGCUAGAAUCGUGAGGGACCUGCCAAGGAAAGCAGCUAAGGGAGUGGAAUAGGCCCAAGAGAGAGAAGUGUGCUGCAGUCAGUAAAGCCGAACGGAGCAGGAGAUCUGGAGUGUCGAUGCCCACACCGACAUGGCACGGAGAACGGGAUGUCCAGAUACGGAACUCUUGGCUACAUGUCUUGGCUACAUUGCUACCUGUCAUGAUGAAAACAGACUAAACUUCUGAACCUCUAGUGUGCCACUGGAGAACCUGUUGACUGACUGAGCUGGCUUGGUCACUCCUCCUAUGUGAUAUUU
rnacentral:lncRNA from 1 species